UUCCGCGUUAGGCAACAUGUCUUUGUUUUUGUUCUCUCUCUCCCUCUCCCUCUUUCCCCUGCCGCGGCGGUGCUCACUGCGGGCUCCGCCCCUGGCCCACGCACCUGUGCUCUUCAUCACACCUGUCGCUGUUUACUGCAAUCAGAAGGGCCUUUUAAGAUGGCAGACCUACACUACUCGUCGCUGGAACGUUGAGCCACCCGUAUCCCCCCGGACCCGUCCCUGUACCCCCGAGUGAGCGAGAGGAACGACUGGAGGAAAAGGAGUGGGAUUGUUGGCUGAGAGAGCGGAGUGUGGCUUUGGACCCUUUCCCUUCCCCUCGCACCCUUAUGGUGUCAAACACGUCAUUGACACAAAUGGAAACGAUGUGCACCUGCUGAGUCUUCUUAUCAUUUGUCUUUAGAAUUUUUAUUUAUAAGACAUUGAGAGAUUGAAGCUGAUGGACUCUUUAUUUUAAAUUUUUAAAACAUGAACAUCAACAAAAAAGGGAAAGAUCUGAUAAUUACUAAAGUUGUGUUGAGGAUGUGACGACUGACAAAUAACAGGAAGUACAAACAGUCUUAAAGAGUCAUCAGUUCAGAGACUGUGACAGUCGAGAUCGAGAACAAGAAAGAAGUGAGACAGAGAAGCACGAUGGAUGAAUUCAGAUGGAUUCAAAUGUUUUUAUGUCUGAUGAUUCAGAUUGCAGUAUCUGUAAAUGAAACAUCCAUGUUUAUGAAAGUUGGAGGUGACGUCACUCUGAUUUGUCUAAAUGUGAUAGAUGAGCAGAAUAACUGUGAUGGUACUACGUGGAUGUUUGCUUCAAGACACAAACAACAAUAGAGCUGAUCACACAUGGACAGAUUGUUGAAGAAGCCAAAACUAAAUC